GACGAACGCUGGCGGCGUGCCUAAUACAUGCAAGUAGAACGCUGAAGAGAGGAGCUUACUCUUCUUGGAUGAGUUGCGAACGGGUGAGUAACGCGUAGGUAACCUGCCUUGUAGCGGGGGAUAACUAUUGGAAACGAUAGCUAAUACCGCAUAACAAUGGAUGACACAUGUCAUUUAUUUGAAAGGGGCAAUUGCUCCACUACAAGAUGGACCUGCGUUGUAUUAGCUAGUAGGUGAGGUAAUGGCUCACCUAGGCGACGAUACAUAGCCGACCUGAGAGGGUGAUCGGCCACACUGGGACUGAGACACGGCCCAGACUCCUACGGGAGGCAGCAGUAGGGAAUCUUCGGCAAUGGGGGCAACCCUGACCGAGCAACGCCGCGUGAGUGAAGAAGGGUUUCGGAUCGUAAAGCUCGGUUGUAAGUCAAGAACGGGUGUGAGAGUGGAAAGUUCACACUGUGACGGUAGCUUAACAGAAAGGGACGGCUAACUACGUG
rnacentral:rRNA from 1 species